GUUGAAUUCCCACAAUUCCCAGCCGGCCAGAGAUCCCGCCUCCUGUUGACGUAGAGCCUUCCGAUUGGCUGCUGUGGGUGCGGACGCGCCGCUCUGGCGGUGCGGGAACCUGAGGCCUGGCGGUCGCCAUGAUAAACCUCGGAGCCACGGUGCUUCUUUGCUGCGUGCCUCUCGGUCGCCUCCUGUGCCUGUCACUGGCCUUGUUUGGGACCCUCGCCAACAAACUUAACGUGCCGCAGGUGUUGCUGCCCUUUGGCCGGGAGCCAGGCCGGGUGCCUUUCCUGCUGGAGGCACAGCGGGGCUGCUACAUCUGGUGAGGGAUGGUGGGGUCUGUCCUCACGCACCCCGUCCCUCCCAGCGAGGACGGAGCGCGGCUCCGUGAGAUCCCACAGGAGCGCUGCGCGGUCGCCGGGCGUGACAGGCCCACCUUCUGCGUGGGGUGUGCCCUACCCGCGCGAGAGCUGUUGGGUCAGGAAACGGGUUGGUUCCGGGAGGGAAGGUCCCCUGCGGCUGCUCCCCACAGAGGGUCUGGAACCCCGCGGAACCAAGCGCUUUUCCUGGGUUAACCGACCGACUUUGUUCAGUCUGGAGCAGUACUGUUGGUCCCCAGUUUAUGAGGAAACCGGCGCUCGAGGCCACGAAGGGUAAAGCCUCCUGGAAGACCAUCUGGUGUGGAGGGGAGAGCUGCCCGGGACAUGAAAGUUGUCGCCCUUAUUCAAGGAGCCUCGCCGGAAAUUUGAGGACAAGGGGUUCUCAACUCUGGAAUAUUGAGUGACCUUGACUAAAGAUGGAAAGACGUGAUUUUGUGGUGUGAGAGAAAAACCUAUUAAGUUCUGUGGUUAUCCAAGCAGUGAGGGAACCCAACUAAAGUGAGCUCUAAGACACCAGAGCAUUCAUUCUAAAUGGAGUAGAUUUCCCUUUACUGUUUCUUAAAAGAAGCAAUGAGGUGUUUUCCAAGAAAUUCACCUUUCAUUUUAUGAGGAAGUAAGGGAAUUAGGCUUAUAAAGUGACCCAGUGUGAUGUAUUUCCUGACUCAGAGGAUGAUGAAAGGAAUCUUCCCAGAAUUCAAAACUAUUUCUUCCGUCCUUCCAGAAAUAUUAAUUAAUUUUUUUGGCAUUUUGUGUUGGAUUCACACCUCAUUAUUUAGCCAACUUUUCCAUCUAAGAUAGCAG
rnacentral:lncRNA from 1 species